GGGUUGUGAGGUUAAGCGACUAAGCGUACACGGUGGAUGCCCUGGCAGUCAGAGGCGAUGAAGGACGUGCUAAUCUGCGAUAAGCGUCGGUAAGGUGAUAUGAACCGUUAUAACCGGCGAUUUCCGAAUGGGGAAACCCAGUGUGUUUCGACACACUAUCAUUAACUGAAUCCAUAGGUUAAUGAGGCGAACCGGGGGAACUGAAACAUCUAAGUA
rnacentral:rRNA from 2 species